rnacentral:rRNA from 1 species
CGCUAUCACUCCUACGGGGAGGCAGCAGUGGGGAAUAUUGCACAAUGGGGGAAACCCUGAUGCAGCCAUGCCGCGUGUGUGAAGAAGGCCUUCGGGUUGUAAAGCACUUUCAGUAGGGAGGAAGGUAGUGUAGUUAACACCUGCACAUUUGACGUUACCUACAGAAGAAGCACCGGCUAACUCCGUGCCAGCAGCCGCGGUAAUACGGAGGGUGCGAGCGUUAAUCGGAAUUACUGGGCGUAAAGCGCAUGCAGGCGGCCUGUUAAGUCAGAUGUGAAAGCCCGGGGCUUAACCUCGGAAUUGCAUUUGAAACUGGCAGGCUAGAGUCUUGUAGAGGGGGGUAGGAAUUUCAGGUGUAGCGGUGAAAUGCGUAGAGAUCUGAAGGAAUACCAGUGGCGAAGGCGGCCCCCUGGACAAAGACUGACGCUCAGAUGCGAAAGCGUGGGGAGCAAACAGGAUUAGAUACCCUGGUAG